ensembl:lncRNA
AGUAUAUAACGCGCUGCACAGCAGCGUUCGUCAGAGCAGCUCACACAGGCUAUGCGUCGCCUUAUUGGCUAAGGUGAAGCUGCGAGCGGCGCCCAAUCAAUACUCCUGCUGGACCCUAGUAACAAUUACCUAAGUCACAGGGCACAUCGGACUCAAUAAGCCAAAGAUUUUCAUAGAUUCUUCCUAGAAUCUAUGAAAAACGGGUGAUGCAAAGCUACAAUGCAGAGCUAAGAAAAACCCUUGCUGCCAACUUCGACGAGCAACAAGGCCCCUCAUACGUCCGGUCCUAAAGAGAGGGGGUUAGAGGAACCACCGGCAGGCGUAACAAUGAACAGAGCAGCUAAUCGCAUUCACAAUGCAAUGAAGAAGCUCUAGUUUGCCAGUGAACCGCCAAAUGUGCAAAACUGGCAAUGAAUGUAUGCGACAAUGGACUAAAGGUCCAUCCAAUAAUCUUCUCAAUAAAAGCAAAGCUCCUAAGAGACGAGGAUAACAUACAUUAGAAAUGGUUGGAGAACAGGAUAUUAAAGACGCCGGUUGAAAAGACUCCAUCCAUUUAAUUUCCUUUCCCUUCCAUUUUUUUUUGCCACCUGCCACUUGACCACACCCAUCUCACCUGUUUGGGGAGGGGCGGAGCCUAUCAAUUGUUUGUCCAUACUUUGGCUCUUGCUUGGCACUCACCACCAGCACGCUCAUGCAUCCUGUGUGCAUCUUCAAUUAACCACACAAAGAUGAGGGAAAUUGAUGCAAAAUCAAGAAUCAAAUAAACCUGAAGAAUAAGAAAAUAAACCAAAUUGUGUUGCAUCAAA